UGUUGAGCUGACUCGCUUGCAUUUCAACUGCUAGUUUCGGACACACUGGAGGGAGUGUGAAGUACUGGGACUUGUGAGGAAAUUAUUUAUUUCAAACUGGCUACGGUACCUUUUGUUUUUUAAUUAAUGCAUUAUUUAAGCAUUCAUUUUUGUCUGGAGGGGAAAAAACCCACUUGCGUUUUAAAGAAAAACGAGCUCGGUUUGGAUAACUGUAUCGCAUGAAUAGAAAGUACAGCUAAAUGAGGAUUUUACAAGAAUGGCGAGGGACUCUUUUGUUUUGUAGAAGCAGUUUAUGGGACGGACAGACGUGUGAAGGCCAGCGACGUGGAAGACCUCAUCGCAGAGACGCUGAGAUUCACGCCUCACACAGGAGGAAAGGAGCGACAGGCAACUUCGUGGAACUGACAGUGAAGCCGGGCAAUCAUUCCUCUGAGGUGAGCUUUUGAAUUCUUAUAAACACUCUGGGUUUCAAGUUCAGUAUCAGUUUUGGAUGCAUUUAUAAUAAACCUCAUGUGACCUCUCCAUACCUGUGUGUGUGUGUGUGUGUGUGUGUGUGUGUGUGUGUGUGUGUGUUGCUGUGUACCCGGAGCUUUCGAUAUCUCCAGAAUCCUCUCAUGUAAUUGGGUUAGUUGUGUGUUUGUGUUUAUUGAAGAGGCUGCUGCUGUAGGAGAGCAGGAUCGGGAGAUUGGCGGGUAGGAUAGUAGGGAGUACAUUUACA